GAGAGUGCUGGAAGGAGCUAUGAACAAUAGAGAAAGAGACUAUAGAGAUUGGCUGGAUUUACCGUGUAUGAGCUGGAUUGUUUGGACUUACAUGUUGGCGUUUGGACCUGGACCUACCGAGAACCCGAUUCGUGUACCGAACCCUGCUAUCCUUGACCUCGCCUACGGCCUGGGUGGACCAGGACGGAGAAACAAACACACAGUGAUAGCGACUCUGACUGGGAGCCCCCGGUGCCAAGCUGCCCGCUCUGCCCCCUCUACUCCUGCCUCCAGUGGUGUUCAUAUGCCACAGUUCAUUACUGCAGGCAUGACUGUGCCUCAGGGCACAGCAUGGAGUUGUCGUUGUGUUCUGUGUCACAUGACUUGCACCACUUGUUCAGUCUGCUUCACAUCAGAAAGAGACUGCUAUGGUACAUGGCACAGGCAGCAAAAUAUUGUGUAGAGGACUUUCAAAGGGUGUACUGUUAUUAUUUAUUUAUUUAUUUAUUAUUUAUUUAUUUAUUAUUAUUUAUUUUCAAAUAUUUUUUAACUUUUUUUGUGUGUUUUAGAAUUGCUUUUUGAUAUGUUGUAUAAUAGUUAUUUGCACUGUUGUAUAUACACUGCUCAAAAAAAUUAAGGGAACAGUUAAACAACACAAUGCAACUCCAAGUCAAUCACACUUCUGUGAAAUCAAAAUGUCCACUUAGGAAGCAACACUAAUUGACAAUAAAUUUCACAUGCUGUUGUGCAAAUGGAAUAGACAACAGGUGGAAAUGAUAGGCAAUUAGCAAGACACCCCUACUAAAGGAGUGGCUCUGCAGGUGGUGACCACAGACCACUUCUCAGUUCCUAUGCUUCCUGGCUGAUGUUUUGGUCACUUUUGAAUGCUGGUGGUGCUUUCACUCUAGUGGUAGCAUGAGUCCACAACCCACACCAGUGGCUCAGGUAGUGCAGCUCAUCCAGGAUGGCACAUCAAUGCAAGAUUUGGCAAGAAGGUUUGCUGUGUCUGUCAGCGUAGUGUCCAGAGCAUGGAGGCGCUACCAGGAGACAGGCCAGUACAUCAGGAGACGUGGAGGAGGGCAACAACCCAGCAGCAGGACCGCUACCUCCGCCUUUGUGCAAGGAGGAGCACUGCCAGAGCCCUGCAAAAUGACCUCCAGCAGGCCACAAAUGUGCAUGUGUCUGCUCAAACGGUCAGAAACAGACUCCAUGAGGGUGGUAUGAGGACCCGACGUCCACAGGUGGGGGUUGUGCUUACAGCCCAACACCGUGCAGGACGUUUGGCAUUUGCCAGAGAACACCAAGAUUGGGAAAUUCGCCACUGGCGCCCUGUGCUCUUCACAGAUGAAAGCAGGUUCACACUGAGCACACGUGACAGAGUAUGGAGACGCCGUGGAGAACGUUCUGCUGCCUGCAACAUCCUCCAGCAUGACCGGUUUGGCAGUGGGUCAGUUAUGGUGUGGGGUGGCAUUUCUUUGGGGGGCCGCACAGCCCUCCAUGUGCUCGCCAGAGGUAGCCUGACUGCCAUUAGGUACCAAGAUGAGAUCCUCAGACCCCUUGUGAGACAAUAUGCUGGUGCGGUUGGCCCUGGGUUCCUCCUAAUGCAAGACAGUGCUAGACCUCCAUGUGGCUGGAGUGUCAGCAGUUCCUGCAAGAGGAAGGCAUUGAUGCUAUGGACUGGCCCGCCCGUUCCCCAGACCUGAAUCCAAUUGAGCACAUCUGGGACAUCAUGUCUCGCUCCAUGCACCAAUGCCACAUUGCACCACAGACUGUCCAGGAGUUGGCGGAUGCUUUAGUCCAGGUAUGGGAGGAGAUCCCUCAGGAGACCAUCCGCCACCUCAUCAGGAGCAUGCCCAGGCGUGGUAGGGAGGUUAUACAGGCACGUGGAGGCCACACACACUACUAAGCCUCAUUUUGGUUGUUUUAAGGACAUUACAUUACAAAGUUGGAUCAGCCUGUAGUGUGGUUUUCCACAUUCAUUUUGUGUGACUCCAAAUCCAGACCUCCAUGGGUUGAUAAAUUUGAUUUCCAUUGAUCAUUUUUGUGUGAUUUUGGUGUCAGCACAUUCAACUACAGUGGGGCAAAAAAGUAUUUAGUCAGCCAGCAAUUAUGCAAGUUCUCCCACUUAAUGAUGAGAGAGGCAUGUAAUUUUCAUCAUAGGUACACUUCAACUAUGACAGGCAAAAUGAGAAAAAAAAUCCUGAAAUUCACAUUGUAGCAUUUUUAAUGAAUUUAUUUGCAAAUUAUGGUGGAAAAUAAGUAUUUGGUCAAUAACAAAAGUUUAUCUCAAUACUUUGUUAUAUACCCUUUGUUGGCAAUGACGGAGGUCAAACGUUUUCUGUAAGUCUUCACAAGGUUUUCACACACUUUUGCUGGUAUAUUGGCCCAUACCUCCAUGCAGAUCUCCUCUAGAGCAGUGAUGUUUUGGGGCUGUUGCUGGGCAACACGAACUUUCAACUCCCUCCAACGAUUUUCUAUGGGGUUGAGAUCUGGAGACUGGCUAGGCCACUCCAGGACCUUGAAAUGCUUCUUACGAAGCCACUCCUUCAUUGCCCGGGCGGUGUGUUUGGGAUCAUUGUCAUGCUGAAAGACCCAGCCACGUUUCAUCUUCAAUGCCCUUGCUGAUGGAAGGAGGUUUUCACUCAAAAUCUCACGAUGCAUGGCCCCAUUCAUUCUUUCCUUUACACGGAUCAGUCGUCCUGGUCCCUUUGCAGAAAAACAGCCCCAAAGCAUGAUGUUUCCACCCCCAUGCUUCACAGUAGGUAUGGUAUUCUUUGGAUGCAACUCAGCAUUCUUUGUCCUCCAAACAUGACGAGUUGGGUUUUUACCAAAAAAUUAUAUUUUGGUUUCAUCUGACCAUAUGACAUUCUCCCAAUCUUCUUCUGGAUCAUCCAAAUGCUCUCUAGCAAACUUCAGACGGGCCUGGACAUGUACUGGCUUAAGCAGGGGGACAUGUCUGGCACUGCAGGAUUUGAGUCCCUGGCGGCGUAGUGUGUUACUGAUGGUAGGCUUUGUUACUUUGGUCCCAGCUCUCUGCAGGUCAUUCACUAGGUCCCCCUGUGUGGUUAUGGGAUUUUUGCUCACCGUUCUUGUGAUCAUUUUGACCCCACGGGGUGAGAUCUUGUGUGGAGCCACAGAUCGAGGGAGAUUAUCAGUGGUCUUGUAUGUCUUCCAUUUCCUAAUAAUUGCUGCCACAGUUGAUUUCUUCAAACCAAGCUGCUUACCUAUUGCAGAUUCAGUCUUCCCAGCCUGGUGCAGGUCUACAAUUUUGUUUCUGGUGUCCUUUCACAUCUCUUUGGUCUUGGCCAUAGUGGAGUUUGGAGUGUGACUGUUUGAGGAUGUGGACAGGUGUCUUUUAUACUGAUAACAAGUUCAAACAGGUGCCAUUAAUACAGGUAACGAGUGGAGGACAGAGGAGCCUCUUAAAGAAGAAGUUACAGGUCUGUGAGAGCCAGAAAUCUUGCUUGUUUGUAGGUGACCAAAUACUUAUUUUCCACCAUAAUUUGCAAUUCAAUUCAUUAAAAAUCCUACAAUGUGAUUUUCUGGAUUGUUUUCCUCAUUUUGUCUGUCAUAGUUGAAGUGUACCUAUGAUGAAAAUUACAGGCCUCUCUCAUAUUUUUAAGUGGGAGAACUUGCACAAUUGGUGGCUGACUAAAUACUUGUUUGCCCCACUCUAUGUUAAGAAAAAAGUAUUUAAUAAGAAUAUUUCUUUCAUUCAGAUCGAGGAUGUGUUAUUUUAGUGUUCCCUUUAUUUUUUUGAGCAGUGUAGUUAUAGGUCAUGUCUUCAGGCAGAAAUUGAGAACAAGGGAUGCAGCCAUAAGAGGUUAAGCCUUCGCAGAAGGCAGGAAUCGUGGUCACAGGCAGGCAAUGGUAAAUCACAGGCAGGCAGUCAAAAACAUAACCAUAAAAAAGAAAGAACUGAACUAAAUAGGGAGCUGAUGAAACCAGGUGAAAUCAAUGAACAAAAAUUAAAGACAGGGCUACGUUCAAGAACACAAAGAAAAAGAACACAAGUUUGACUAACAAAAGAAAAGCAGAACCUUACAGAGACUGACUUAUUAAUAUCUUUUCAAGUUCAAAACUCUGCACUCUCCUCAAACAAUAGCAUGUUGUUAAUUCACUUUAAUAGCUACUGCAAAUUGUACAGUGCAGUUAGAUUAACAAGAAUUGAAGCUUUCUGACAAUAUCAGAUAUCUUUUCUGGGAAAUGGUCUUGUUACUUUCAACCUCAUGCUAAUUGCAUUAGCCUACGUUAGCUCAACCGUCCCAAUCAGCGUUUGAGCUGGGUCACAGUUUUUUCAUUGAACAUUUUGCACAAACAGUCUUUACAGUGUUAUGUCCUCAAUGUGACCAGUUUAUUUUUGGAUGCAACAUUAACAUAAGUAGCAGCAUAACACAAUACCCAUCCAAACUGGAAAAUGCAGGCUACAUUAGUCGUAGUGCUGAGGAAAGUGACCUAACACAAGCGGUCAUAUUUCAUUUUUUAGCUAACUCUUGGCUGACAAGCCAUAAUAUGAAUUAGCGAAUAGCAAUUACUAUGGUGAGCUCACCAGUGACCUACAUAAUUGAGAAACACUUUCUAUAAUUACAAAAAGCAUGUGGACACCCCUUCAUAUUAAUAGAUUUGGCUAUUUCAGCCAUACGCUUUGCUGACAGGUGUAUAAAAUCAAGCACGCAGCAAUGCAAUCUCCAUAGACAAACACUGGCAGAAUGGCCUUACUGAAGAGCUCAGUGACUUUCAACGUGGCACCCUCAUAGGAUACCACCUUUCCAACAAGUCAAUCAAAUUUCUGCUUUGCUAGAGCUUCCCAGGUCAACUGUAAGUGCUGUUAUUGUGAAGUGGAAACGUCUAGGAGCACCAACGGCUCAGCCGCAAAGUGGUAGGCCACACAAUCUCACAGAACUGGACUGCUGAGUGCUGAAGCACGUAGCGCAUUAAAUCUGUCCUCGGUUGCAACACUCACUACCGAGUUCCAAACUGCCUUUGGAAGCAAGGUCAGCACAAUAACUGUUCGUCGGGGGCUUCAUGAAAUGGGUUUCCAUGGCUAAGCAACCGCACACAAGCCUAAGAUUACCAUGCGCAAUGCCAAGCGUCGGCUGGAGUGGUGCAAAGCUUGCCGCCAUUGGACUCUGGAGCAGUGGAAACGCUUUGUCUGGAAUGAUGAAUCACACUUCACCAUCUGUCAGUCUUACGGACUAAUCUGGGUUUGGCCGAUGCCAGGAGAACACUACCUGCCGCAAAACAGGGUGCCAACUAAAGUUUGGUGGAGGUGGCAUAAUGGUCUGGGGCUGUUUUUCAUCGUUUGGGCUCGGCCUCUUAGUUCCAGUGAAGGGACAUCUUAAAGCUACAGCAUACAAUGACAUUCUAGAAGACUCUGUGCUUCCAAAUUUGUGGUUACAGUUUAGGGAAGGCCCUUUUCAAUGCCCUGUGUACAAAGCAAGCUCUAUACAGAAAUGGUUUGUCAAGAUCGGUGUGGAAGAACUUGACUGGCCGCCCUAACCUCAACUUCAAUAUGUUUGGAAUUAAUUGGAAUGCUGGCUGCGAGCCAGGCCUAAUCGCCCAACAUCAGUCCCCGCAGCAAUGUUCCAACAUCUAGUGGAAAGCCUUCCCAGAAGAGUGGAGGCUGUUUAUAGCAGCAAAGAGGUGUCCAACUCCUUAUUACUUCCCAUGAUUUUGGAAUGAGAUGUUCGACCAGGUGUCCACAUACUUUGGUUAUGUAGUGUAUGCGUCCAUUACAAUCUAUGCAAGAAUCAGAAUGCAUGAUUUGUCACCGGUACUUGAAAAUGUGAAUAAACAGUAAAUACA